rnacentral:tRNA from 1 species
CAAGAUAUGGCUUAAUUAGUUAAGUAUUUCAUUUACACUGAAAUGAUUUCUGUGCAAUUCAGAUUAUCUUGA